UAAGCGGAGGAAAAGAAACUAACAAGGAUUCCCCUAGUAACUGCGAGUGAAGCGGGAAAAGCUCAAAUUUAAAAUCUGGUGGCCUUUGGCCAUCCGAGUUGUAAUUUAGAGAAGCGUCUUCCGCGCUGGACCGUGCACAAGUCUCCUGGGAUGGAGCGUCAUAGAGGGUGAGAAUCCCGUCUUUGGCACGGACGCACCAGGGCUUUUGUGAUGCGCUCUCGAAGAGUCGAGUUGUUUGGGAAUGCAGCUCAAAAUGGGUGGUGAACUCCAUCUAAAGCUAAAUAUUGGCGAGAGACCGAUAGCGAACAAGUACCGUGAGGGAAAGAUGAAAAGCACUUUGGAAAGGGAGUGAAACAGUACGUGAAAUUGUUGAAAGGGAAACGAUUGAAGUCAGUCGCGUCGUCCGAGACUCAGCCUCGCCUCGGCUUGGUGUACUUCUCGGCCGACGGGUCAGCAUCAAUUUUGCCCCUUGGAUAAUGGCGAGGGAAAUGUGACACCUUUACAGGUGUGUUAUAGUCUCUCGUCGCAUGCAAGGGUCGGGAUUGAGGAACUCAGCACGCGCCUUUGGGCGUCGGGGCAUCUGCCCACGAUACGUGCUUAGGAUGUUGGCGUAAUGGCUAUAAACGACC
rnacentral:rRNA from 1 species